AUUGAACGCUGGCGGCAGGCCUAACACAUGCAAGUCGAACGAGUGGCGGACGGGUGAUUAAUGUCUGGGAAACUUCCUGAUGGAUGGCUAUAACUACUGGAAACUGUUGCUAAUACCGCAUACCAUCAGAUGUGCCCAUAUGGGAUGAGCGUGUUGGUGGGGUAACGGCUCACCAAGACAACGAUCCCUAGCUGGUCUGAGAGGAUGACCAGCCACACUGGAAAUGAGACAAGGUCCAGACUCCUACGGGAGGCAGCAGUGGGGAAUAUUGCACAAUGGGGGAAAGCCUGAUGCAGCCAUGCCGCGUGUAUGAAGAAGGCCUUCGGGUUGUAAAGUACUUUCAGCGGGGAGGCGUUACCCGCAGAAGAAGCACCGGCUAACUCCGUGCCAGCAGCCGCGGUAAUUC
rnacentral:rRNA from 1 species